UGUUUCAGACUGUAUUGUUGGCGAACACUAAGGCCUAUGUUAUCAGAGGACUUGCUAACAUGAAGAAAACGUCCAGAGGUUCCAGAGCAGGGACUGUCAAAUAGUAAGACAAAAAAGAAAAGGAGGGAACUGACUUUAAGCUGUGGAGUCAGACGGAGGGCUCACAUUUACCUCAAAAACAGCAUUGCAGAGGAC